GGGAGCAUAGCUCAGUGGUAGAGCAUUUGACUGCAGAUCAAUGGGUCCCCAGUUCAAAUCUGGGUGUUCCCU
rfam:Alligator sinensis unplaced genomic scaffold scaffold222_1, whole genome shotgun sequence